rnacentral:tRNA from 1 species
GUCGCUUUGGCGGAGUGGUUAAUGCGCUGCCCUGCUAUCGAGCAGUUCAGGCAGUCCUCUCGGGGGCGUAGGUUCGAAUCCUGCAGGCGACG